GGACUACUAGGGUAUCUAAUCCUGUUUGCUCCCCACGCUUUCGCGCUCCAGUGUCAGGUAUAGGCCAAAAAGCUGCCUUCGCCAUCGGUGUUCCUCUUGAGAUCUACGCAUUUUACCGCUACUCCAAGAAUUCCACUUCUCUCUCCUAACCUCUAGUCAUGUAGUUUCGACCGCAUCCUCACAGUUGAGCCGUGAUCUUUAACAAUCGACUUACAUAACCACCUACACGCUCUUUACGCCCAGUUAUUCCGAAUAACGCUCGCUCCCUUCGUAUUACCGCGGCUGCUGGCAC
rnacentral:rRNA from 1 species